AAGAACUUGAGCUGCAUAUACUAAACUCAGCCAUGGAUAAAAGAAAGUCCUGUGUUCUUCUGGCUUUCUUUCUUGUAUUCGUCUCCUGGGAAGCCUACGUUGUUCAAGGCAUAAACAGGAAGGACCCUCUUGAUCCUGCUAUAACGCAUUAUGAGAUGAGGCCUAAGUUGCCUUCAGGUCAUGAACAAGCUUUCUGCCUGGCCAGAGGGAAAUGCCAAUUCAAGACACUUGUGUGUCCAGAUCAAUGCAAAGUA
rnacentral:misc_RNA from 1 species